rnacentral:rRNA from 1 species
UUCGUCCUACGGGACGCAGCAGUGGGGAAUAUUGGGCAAUGGGCGCAAGCCUGACCCAGCAACGCCGCGUGAAGGAAGAAGGCUUUCGGGUUGUAAACUUCUUUUCUCAGGGACGAAGAAAGUGACGGUACCUGAGGAAUAAGCCACGGCUAACUACGUGCCAGCAGCCGCGGUAAUACGUAGGUGGCAAGCGUUAUCCGGAUUUAUUGGGCGUAAAGGGCGUGUAGGCGG